CACGUAGUUAGCCGGUGCUUAUUCUUCCGGUACCGUCAUCCGCCACGGGUAUUAACCACGGCGUUUUCUUUCCGGACAAAAGUGCUUUACAACCCGAAGGCCUUCUUCACACACGCGGCAUUGCUGGAUCAGGCUUUCGCCCAUUGUCCAAAAUUCCCCACUGCUGCCUCCCGUAGGAGUCUGGGCCGUGUCUCAGUCCCAGUGUGGCUGGUCGUCCUCUCAGACCAGCUACAGAUCGUCGCCUUGGUAGGCCUUUACCCCACCAACUAGCUAAUCUGCCAUCGGCCGCCCCUGUAGCGGGAGGUCCUAAGAUCCCCCCCUUUCUCCGUAGAGCGUAUGCGGUAUUAAUCCGGCUUUCGCCGGGCUAUCCCCCACUACAGGACACGUUCCGAUGUAUUACUCACCCGUUCGCCACUCGCCACCAGGGUUGCCCCCGUGCUGCCGUUCGACUUGCAUGUGUAAGGCAUGCCGCCAGCGUUCAAUCUGAGCCAGGAUCAAACUCU
rnacentral:rRNA from 1 species